GAGUUUGAUCCUGGCUCAGAUUGAACGCUGGCGGCAUGCCUUACACAUGCAAGUCGAACGGCAGCACGGGAGCUUGCUCCUGGUGGCGAGUGGCGAACGGGUGAGUAAUGCAUCGGAACGUAUCCUGGAGUGGGGGAUAACGUAGCGAAAGUUACGCUAAUACCGCAUAUUCUGUGAGCAGGAAAGCGGGGGACCUUCGGGCCUCGCGCUCUUGGAGCGGCCGAUGUCGGAUUAGCUAGUUGGUGAGGUAAAGGCUCACCAAGGCGACGAUCCGUAGCAGGUCUGAGAGGAUGAUCUGCCACACUGGAACUGAGACACGGUCCAGACUCCUACGGAGGCAGCAGUGGGAAUUUUGGACAAUGGGGGCAACCCUGAUCCAGCCAUGCCGCGUGAGUGAAGAAGGCCUCGG
rnacentral:rRNA from 1 species